rnacentral:rRNA from 1 species
UACGAAGGGGGCUAGCGUUGUUCGGAUUUACUGGGCGUAAAGCGCACGUAGGCGGAUCGAUCAGUCAGGGGUGAAAUCCCAGAGCUCAACUCUGGAACUGCCUUUGAUACUGUCGAUCUGGAGUAUGGAAGAGGUGAGUGGAAUUCCGAGUGUAGAGGUGAAAUUCGUAGAUAUUCGGAGGAACACCAGUGGCGAAGGCGGCUCACUGGCCCGGUACUGACGCUGAGGUGCGAAAGCGUGGGGAGCAAACAGG